rnacentral:rRNA from 1 species
GAAACCGUGUACGUACAAGCAGUGGGAGCCCCACCACUAAGCCAGUGGUGAACUCCACAUACGCAUCCUUUGCUGAGGAUACGGUUAACGGAGCGAAAGCGACGUUCAACCUCAAAAGAAGCAGAGGGGGCUUAGUGGUGGGGUGACUGCGUACCUUUUGUAUAAUGGGUCAGCGACUUAUAUUCUGUAGCAAGGUUAACCGAAUAGGGGAGCCGGAGGGAAACCGAGUCUUAACCGGGCGUUAA